AACGAACGCUGGCGGCAGGCUUAACACAUGCAAGUCGAACGCCCCGCAAGGGGAGUGGCGCACGGGUGAGUAACGCGUGGAUAUCUGCCUUUUGGUUCGGAAUAACCCCGGGAAACUGGGGCUAAUACCGGAUGGUUCCUACGGGGUAAAGAUUUAUCGCAAAAAGAUGAGUCCGCGUACGAUUAGCUAGUUGGUGAGGUAAUGGCUCACCAAGGCGACGAUCGUUAGCUGGUCUGAGAGGACGAUCAGCCACACUGGGACUGAGACACGGCCCAGACUCCUACGGGAGGCAGCAGUGGGGAAUAUUGGACAAUGGGGGCAACCCUGAUCCAGCCAUGCCGCGUGAGUGAUGAAGGCCUUCGGGUUGUAAAGCUCUUUUGGCGGGGACGAUGAUGACGGUACCCGCAGAAUAAGCCCCGGCUAACUUCGUGCCAGCCGCCGCCGUAA
rnacentral:rRNA from 1 species